UGGAGAGAGAGAGAGAGAGAGAGAGAGAGAGAGAGAGAGAGAGAGAGAGAGAGAGAGAGAGAGAGAGAGAGAGAGAGAGAGAGAGAGAGAGAGAGAGAGAGAGAGAGAGUGUGUGUGUGUGUGUGUGUGUGUGUGUGUGUGUGUGUGUGUGUGUGUGUGUGUGUGUGUGUGUGUGUGUGUGUGUGUGUGUGUGUGUGUGUGUGUGUGCCUGAGGGUUGGUGUCCCUGUUGGCGAGGCGGGCGGAGGGGCGGAGAGGUGUUUGCUCAGUGCGAGUAUACGGCAAACACGCCCCGGCAGCCCUUAGAAGGUUUUAUCCCCGUGUUCAUUGUUCUUCGCGCAGCCCCACAUUUGUUAUCUCUUUGUAGCGCAGUCCUCGUCACUGCUGUGAAAGCAAGCACGUGGCUCAGGAAGGAAUAUUUUAGAUGCAGGUUGGUAUUUAUAUCCAGUGCGAUGUUUCCACGCAUGCAAGGUGGUGGUUCACUGUACUCGUACGUGGUGAGCACUGCGUUCCUUUGGUUAGUUUCCACUCCCAGGCUUUUAAGGUCACCUUUUACAAACUGACUGGAAUUUGUACACGUGUGUUUCUAAAGUCCCAGCAUCUCAUUGACAUUUUCAAUUCACACUUUUCGGCUAUUAGAAAUAUUUUCUGUAACUUUAAUCAUGAAAAUGCGAAUAUUCAGUUUCAUUGUUUUACAAAAUGAAAUGGUAAUAUACUCGUAAGUAUUCUUAUCAGUGCUGAUACACAAAUUUUCCAGUGAUCGAAGACCACUAAAGUGUGUCACGUUUCGGUUGUACAUGCCAUCACUACAUCCUCCUGUAUCAAAUGUACGGUACAUACUAUCGGUUCAUUGUUCCUUUAUUUGUAGACGAAAAGAAAGACCGCGAACCAAACACAUGGUUUACACUGCAAACAAGAAUCUUCAAAGCAAGUGGUAGAAAAGGAGAAAUGUCUAACAAGAACAUAUGUUAUCGGAAACAGAAUAGGACUCAUCUGAAAACGAUACAUAAACAAAGGGAACUAAAGCGUACUACCGGAGCAACACUUGCAAAAUUUAUCUAGUAUAGUGUUUUCUUAAAGAGACCUGCUGCGGGAUGCGGGGAGGGCAGUGAACUCAGGUAAAGAUUAAUAAAUAGAUAGUAACAUGCGCCAGUUUGAGUCCUUUUCUUUUGGAUAACUGACAUUGUUGCUGGAAUCAAGCGCUGCACUCUUAUAUUUAUAUUUUUCAAUGUGGUGCGAGGAAAAUCUGUAUUCUAUUGGUUGGGAAGACGGAAAAGAUAAAUGGAAGCUUUGGGAACUUCUUACAACAACUAGUGAAGUGUAAAACAACUGCGUUCCGGCCACUGCGUAUUUUUCCAGUUUAGAAAGUAUUGAGAGAAAGAGAAAUUUCGGUGUGUAAGUGAAGGGCAAAGGAGGAAACUUCUUUUUACAUGGGAGAGAGAGGCUGUUAAGGGAGAGUUAAAGGGAGAAGGAGCGUUGGGGGUGUAGGAGUACUCGUAUGUGUGAAAAGAAGUGCCAGAGGAAAAAAAAAGACAAAAUUGGCUAAUGAAAGGAAAAAUUUGCCCCAACGUUAUCAUAAAAAAAAAAAAAAAAAUUACCGAAAAGAAAAAUCUAACAAGUAAAGUUGAGAACAAAUGUGAAGCAAACUUUCAAGACCCAAUGAGUAUGAAGCACGAGACUAAGUGACGCUGCUGUGGUCGUAUGCUUUAUUCAGCGCUUCGUGUCGCCUCGGAGGACUACUAGUAGGUAUCUCGCUCCCCACGCGAGUACCGGGAGGAGUUGGAAUCGGUGACCCACAUGCCAGUGACUCGGGACGUGGUCUGAAGUAUUGAUUGCAGGUCUACGUCAGUAUUUCUCCUUGGUCGUCCUCGUCCCUCGCGAGACCCCUCCAGAGCUCUUGAGGAGCAGGCAUCAAAGGGCCCGGCGGGUUGAGUGCUGGCGAGAGGCGCUGCUGUCGGCCUGGUCGAUCUUUGCUGGAGUGGAGAAGUUGCGGCGUGUGUGAGAGCUUGUUAUGACAGGCGUGAACAGACUUAGGAGAGGCUGCUCGUGUGUGUGUGUGUGUGUGUGUGUGUGUGUGUGUGUGUGUGUGUGUGUGUGUGUGUGUGUGUCCCUGCAGUGUUUCUUCACAUCCUGGGGUAGUAUUUGCUCUAGUGUUUAAAGACUUUGCACAUUGAAUGAGUUUGUUAACUACUGAUGGGCUUAAA